rnacentral:rRNA from 1 species
CCGCUCUUGGAGGGGCUCGCGGCCUAUCAGCUAGUUGGUGAGGUAACGGCUCACCAAGGCUAUGACGGGUAGCUGGUCUGAGAGGACGACCAGCCACACGGGAACUGAGACACGGUCCCG